GGAAGGGAGGGGCCAGGAGCGGCGGUAAGAGGUGGGGGGGGAGGGGUGUCCGGAGGUAGUGGGCGGAAAGGGCUCGGAGGCGGUGGGUCGGGGCGGGAGUGAAAACUUCAGGCUGAACAGGGGGCUUGCUUUGGAGACGGGCAGACUGGAGGUAGGCAGAGGAGAACGGAAUUCCGGGGGGAGCGGUGAAAUGCGCAGAUAUCAGGAGGAACACCGGUGGCGAAGGCGGUUCUCUGGGCAUUACCUGACGCUGAGGAGCGAAAGUGUGGGGAGCGAACAGGAUUAGAUACCCUAGUAGUC
rnacentral:rRNA from 1 species